UACAGAGGGGGCAAGCGUUGUUCGGAAUUACUGGGCGUAAAGGGCGCGUAGGCGGCCUGCUAAGUCGAUCGUGAAAUCCCCGGGCUUAACCCGGGAACUGCGACCGAUACUGGUUGGCUUGAAUUCGGGAGAGGGAUGCGGAAUUCCAGGUGUAGCGGUGAAAUGCGUAGAUAUCUGGAGGAACACCGGUGGCGAAGGCGGCAGCCUGGACCGGCAUUGACGCUGAGGCGCGAAAGCCAGGGGAGCAAACGGG
rnacentral:rRNA from 1 species